rnacentral:rRNA from 1 species
AAUGAACGCUGGCGGCGUGCCUAACACAUGCAAGUCGUACGAGAAAUCCCGAGCUUGCUUGGGAGAGUAAAGUGGCGCACGGGUGAGUAACGCGUGGGUAACCCACCUUCGAAUUUGGGAUAACUCCGCGAAAGCGGUGCUAAUACCGGAUAAGACCACAGCCGUUUCGGCGGCAGAGGUAAAAGCUGACCUCUCCAUGGAAGUUAGCGUUCGAAGACGGGCCCGCGUCCUAUCAGCUUGUUGGUGGGGUAAAGGCCUACCAAGGCAGCGACGGGUAGCUGGUCUGAGAGGAUGAUCAGCCACACUGGAACUGGAACACGGUCCAGACUCCUACGGGAGGCAGCAGUGAGGAAUUUUGCGCAAUGGGGGAAACCCUGACGCAGCAACGCCGCGUGGGUGAAGAAGGCUUUCGGGUCGUAAAGCCCUGUCAGGUGGGAAGAAACUCUUCAGCACUAAUAAUGCUGAAGCCUGACGGUACCACCAGAGGAAGCACCGGCCAACUCCGUG